rnacentral:rRNA from 1 species
UUGAACGCUGGCGGCAUGCCUUACACAUGCAAGUCGCACGGCAGCACGGGUGCUUGCACCUGGUGGCGAGUGGCGAACGGGUGAGUAAUACAUCGGAACAUGUCCUGUAGUGGGGGAUAGCCCGGCGAAAGCCGGAUUAAUACCGCAUACGAUCUACGGAUGAACGCGGGGGCCCUUCGGGCCUCGCGCUAUAGGGUUGGCCGAUGGCUGAUUAGCUAGUUGGUGGGGUAAAGGCCUACCAAGGCGACGAUCAGUAGCUGGUCUGAGAGGACGACCAGCCACACUGGGACUGAGACACGGCCCAGACUCCUACGGGAGGCAGCAGUGGGGAAUUUUGGACAAUGGGCGAAAGCCUGAUCCAGCAAUGCCGCGUGUGUGAAGAAGGCCUUCGGGUUGUAAAGCACUUUUGUCCGGAAAGAAAUCCUUGGCCCUAAUACGGUCGGGGGAUGACGGUACCGGAAGAAUAAGCACCGGCUAACUACGUG